AGUGAACGCUGGCGGUAGGCCUAACACAUGCAAGUCGAACGGCAGCACAGUAAGAGCUUGCUCUUACGGGUGGCGAGUGGCGGACGGGUGAGGAAUACAUCGGAAUCUACUUUUUCGUGGGGGAUAACGUAGGGAAACUUACGCUAAUACCGCAUACGACCUACGGGUGAAAGCAGGGGAUCUUCGGACCUUGCGCGAUUGAAUGAGCCGAUGUCGGAUUAGCUAGUUGGCGGGGUAAAGGCCCACCAAGGCGACGAUCCGUAGCUGGUCUGAGAGGAUGAUCAGCCACACUGGAACUGAGACAUGGUCCAGACUCCUACGGGAGGCAGCAGUGGGGAAUAUUGGACAAUGGGCGCAAGCCUGAUCCAGCCAUACCGCGUGGGUGAAGAAGGCCUUCGGGUUGUAAAGCCCUUUUGUUGGGAAAGAAAAGCAGCAGGUUAAUACCCCGCUGUUCUGACGGUACCCAAAGAAUAAGCACCGGCUAACCUCGUG
rnacentral:rRNA from 1 species